UGGGGAAUAUUGGACAAUGGGCGAAAGCCUGAUCCAGCAAUGCCGCGUGAGUGAUGAAGGCCCUAGGGUUGUAAAGCCCUUUUACCCGGGAUGAUAAUGACAGUACCGGGAGAAUAAGCCCCGGCUAACUCCGUGCCAGCAGCCGCGGUAAUACGGAGGGAGCUAGCGUUGUUCGGAUAUACUGGGCGUAAAGCGCACGUAGGCGGCGCCGUAAGUCAGGGGUGAAAUCCCGGAGCUCAACUCCGGAACUGCCCUUGAAACUGCAGUGCUAGAAUCCUGGAGAGGCGAGUGGAAUUCCGAGUGUAGAGGUGAAAUUCGUAGAUAUUCGGAAGAACACCAGUGGCGAAGGCGACUCGCUGGACAGGUAUUGACGCUGAGGUGCGAAAGCGUGGGGAGCAAAC
rnacentral:rRNA from 1 species